AUUGUGACAUAGUUAAACAAAACGCCCGGCAGGUGUACGCUGCCGGGCGUUUUUGAUGGGG
rnacentral:sRNA from 1 species